rnacentral:lncRNA from 1 species
GAGCAGCGGCGCCUUUCCCUGCGACUGGCUGUGUCGCCUGGAGCCCGGCGGCCGCCACCCCAGGGAGAAAGCUCCGGUGAGGGGAGCAGACGCUGGGACCCGUGGUCUCGCCCUCUGCUCUUUCCUGGCUGGGGACGGGGGUAGCUCCCAGGCAAAGGCCCUCCGGGGUCUCCGCCCGGGGGGCCCCACCUGCCUUGUGACGGCUGAGAUGUGCGCGUCCCACCCACUUUCCAAGGCGCCUUUGAAGUCGUUUCUCAUUAAAAAACAAGCUUUUUGAAUAACCAAAUGUUCCUUUGGCGCCCUCCAAUUUUAUUUUACUGUAAUCUAUUGAGUUGUAUUUGUUUUUCUGAAUCCGCUUCCUAGGAAAGCGCCCCCUCCCAUUUUAAACCGUUCUCAGGUGGUUUUUUCUGGAAGCAGCAGUGGUUUGUCCAGCAAGGAUUAACUCUUUGCCUUUUCCCGUCUAAACUUCUGAAGACACCUGACAGCUCGUUUUAACUCUGCAAACGACAGUUCAUCCUCCGGGGUGUGGAUUCGGGCUCCCACGGCUGCCGCCUGGGGCAAGUACAAGGAUAAAAUUUAAGAAGAGAGGACUACAGAUCACUUUAACGCUAAAGG